rnacentral:rRNA from 1 species
AUUGAACGCUGGCGGCAGGCUUAACACAUGCAAGUCGAACGAGUGGCGGACGGGUGAGUAAUGCAUGGGAAUCUAGCAUAUGGUGGGGGAUAACUACGGGAAACUGUAGCUAAUACCGCGUACCAUAGGCUGAGCCCAAGUGGGAUUAGGUAGUUGGUGAGGUAAAGGCUCACCAAGCCGACGAUCUCUAGCUGGUCUGGGAGGGUGACCAGCCACACUGGUACUGAGACACGGCCCAGACUCCUGCGAGAGGCAGCAGUGGGGAAUAUUGCGCAGUGGGGGCAACCUUGCGCAGCCAUGCCGCGUGAAUGAAGAAGGCCUUCGGGUUGUAAAGUUCUUUCGGUAGCGAGGCGUUAACUACAGAAGAAGCACCGGCUAACUCCGUGCCAGCAGCCGCGGUAAUAG